rnacentral:lncRNA from 1 species
CUGACUCACAACAUUCCAGAACAUUUAACGGUUGGCUCUCCUUGAGUGGUACAAGCCGGUUCCAGCACAGCACUGGGAUUAAAGGGCCCCAGAAACAAGUGAGGGGUGCUGAGCACUCUUGGGGCUGGGGCUGACCUCCUCUGGGAUCAAGACAGGUCUUGGGUACGGCCCGUGGCGCUGGGACAGGAGGAGGCACAGGUCCACCUUGAUGACAGGACAGCGGGUGACAACCUGCAGCUUCCAGGAGCCACAGCAGCAUCCACUGGUGCUCAAUCCUGCUGUGAAAGCUUCUCCCUGGGAACUGGCUGAGGAUGCUGGCGCAGGAUCUGCCAUCUGAUAGCUCAGCCCUCGCCAGGAGAAAACAAAACACAGUUUCUGAAGUCUGACCUGGUCCGGGAAAGCUUCCAGCCAAGGGCAGGAUGGGCCCAGGAUGCGUGGCUCUGCGUCCAAGGAGCCUGGUCUGCAGGCCUCCCUCCAGGCACCUGGACCUGUGCCUCCCUUUGCUUCUACGGAGCGUCGCUAAGACUAAGUCACGGAACCCACAGGCCUGUCUAGCACGCUGGCGUCCACAGGCUCCUUCUCCUGGUCUCAGUAGUAAGAGGUCGAAGAAAGGAUAAAACUAAAGUUUAAUCCACUAGAAGGUUUUCUGGAGAGAGAGAGAGGGAGAAAUGA